rnacentral:rRNA from 1 species
UUAANCGGAANAACUGGGCGUAAAGGGCANGCAGGCGGUUUANCAAGNAGGAUGNGAAANCCCCGGGCUCAACCUGGGAACAGCAUACUAAACUGGUGGACUAGAGNANNGCAGGGGGAGACGGAAUUCCAGGUGUAGCGGUGGAAUGCGUAGAUAUCUGGAAGAACACCAAAGGCGAAGGCAGUCUCCUGGGCAAAUACUGACGCUCAUAUGCGAAAGCGUGGGUAGCAAACAGGAUUAGAUACCCUGGUAGUCCACGCCGUAAACGAUGUCAAUUAGGAGCUUUGGGCAAUAGUCUGGGUUUCCGCAGCUAACGCAAUAAAUUGACCGCCUGGGGAGU